GAGCAAGAAUCUUCCCUGGGUCCCAGGACUUUCUCUCCUCUGCCUCAGUGUCCAGGUCCCCGGAUCCAGCUGCAUCCCUGGCGAUCCCCUUCCCUCGUCCUUGCCUUGAGGCCCAGGGCCCCGUGAGUACCAGACGCUGUUAUCAGGGGCCUGAGCUGCAGGGAGGAGCUGCAGUCUAUUAAGAUUUAAAGAGAUUUGAUGUAACAAGACAAGCAUGAGAAGGAAUUUAAUUUAGAGAUAAAAAAGUAAUCAAAUCUCAACUUGUGGACAGAGGACAGUGCCUGGAUGCCGAUUGUUUUCAUACAGCAACAUGCAGCGCACGUUAAGAGGCAAUUAACGUGGCUGCUGGGUUUCAGAACCGUAGGGCAGAGCCCUCUCCGAGCCCUGAGCUGUGGCCACCUGGACACACGCAGAACUCGAAAACGAUUUUCCCGCAGAAGCUGAGGGCGUGGGCUCAGCUUGGGGUGAGGGAGUGUCUCCUCACGGUCCUUUCCAUGAACUCAGAUCUGCAGAAGCCUCGUUGCAGCCGUCGUGGGGCAUCAACGCCCAUGCCUCUGACCCACGCGCAGUUCUGGAAAACGACUCUGUGGCUUUUUUCCAAUGUUCUCUUGCCUGCACCGACGCUUCCUUCCUGCCUUUGGUGUCUUCUCAGGAGCAGCUGUGGUCUGUCCUCCUGCACCCUUCCCAGUUUGUGCCACCCCUGCCCUGCAUCUUGGCCUCUGUGUUUGUCCCCAUCUUGUUCUUGUUCUGCUGGCCACACUGUGCGUCUGACCUCACACAGAGGCCUCCAGCAUUGUUUCUUUGCCUGGGAACCUGCAGCAGCCUCCUCUGCACUGGAAGUUGUGCAGGGUUUGCAGGUCCAUCCCUCAGCCUCCAGCCCUGACGAGCUGCUUCUUUAUCCUCAAAUGUGUUUCCUGUAGCAGCUGUCCCAGCACAGCACACACGGGGCCAUUGGAAUCCACAGAACCUUGCCUUCCCUCUGUUCCAGAGGCCUGAGGGCUGAGGCCGAGGCAUGCUGGCUACGCUCUUGGAGGCGCUGAGCUAGAGUCCCCCCACUCCAGGCCUCUCUGCCUCUGACGCCGCCUGUGGCUCUGAACCUGUGGUGGGACCUCCAGCCUCGGCCUCUGCC
rnacentral:lncRNA from 1 species